AUUGAACGCUGGCGGCAUGCUUUACACAUGCAAGUCGAACGGUAACAGGUUAAGCUGACGAGUGGCGAACGGGUGAGUAAUGCAUCGGAACGUGCCCGAUCGUGGGGGAUAACGCAGCGAAAGCUGCGCUAAUACCGCAUACGAUCUGAGGAUGAAAGCGGGGGACCGUAAGGCCUCGCGCGAUCGGAGCGGCCGAUGGCGGAUUAGCUAGUUGGUGGGGUAAAGGCCUACCAAGGCGACGAUCCGUAGCGGGUCUGAGAGGACGACCCGCCACACUGGAACUGAGACACGGUCCAGACUCCUACGGGAGGCAGCAGUGGGGAAUUUUGGACAAUGGGGGAAACCCUGAUCCAGCCAUUCCGCGUGAGUGAAGAAGGCCUUCGGGUUGUAAAGCUCUUUCGGCAGGAACGAAACGGUGGCCCCUAAUACGGGUUGCUAAUGACGGUACCUGAAGAAGAAGCACCGGCUAACUACGUGCCAGCCGCCGCGGUAA
rnacentral:rRNA from 1 species